rnacentral:rRNA from 1 species
ACCGGGGUAUAGCCCAUGGAAACGUGGAUUAACACCCCAUAGUACUUUUAUCCUGCCUGGGAUGGGAGUUAAAUGUUCAAGGUAUCGGAUGGGCAUGCGUCCUAUUAGUUAGUUGGCGGGGUAACAGCCCACCAAGACGAUGAUAGGUAGGGGUUCUGAGAGGAAGGUCCCCCACAUUGGAACUGAGACACGGUCCAAACUCCUACGGGAGGCAGCAGUGAGGAAUAUUGGUCAAUGGACGUAAGUCUGAACCAGCCAAGUCGCGUGAGGGAAGACUGCCCUAUGGGUUGUAAACCUCUUUUAUAAGGGAAGAAUAAGUUCUACGUGUAGAAUGAUGCCUGUACCUUAUGAAUAAGCAUCGGCUAACUCCGUGCCAGCAGCCGCGGUAAUACGGAGGAUGCGAGCGUUAUCCGGAUUUAUUGGGUUUAAAGGGUGCGUAGGCGGUUUAUUAAGUUAGUGGUUAAAUAUUUGAGCUAAACUCAAUUGUGCCAUUAAUACUGGUAAACUGGAGUACAGACGAGGUAGGCGGAAUAAGUUAAGUAGCGGUGAAAUGCAUAGAUAUAACUUAGAACUCCGAUAGCGAAGGCAGCUUACCAGACUGUAACUGACGCUGAUGCACGAGAGCGUGGGUAGCGAACAGGAUUAGAUACCCUGGUAGUCCACGCCGUAAACGA